UUCCCUAAGGCAUGAUAUACUGUUAUGUCUUUUUCAUUGCAUCUGCUCACAGCUUCUUACUUUUAUUAAGGGAUGCAACUAAUUUAAUUGUGUACACAGCAUCUGGAGAAGCUUCAGUACUUUUGGUAUAAUUUGGCUGAUAUACCAAUCUCUUUGGGUUGUUGACUGUAAGCAGCUUUCACAUUCAAUGUCCCAUCGCCAAAUCAAUAUAGGUGAGCCAGUUUUUGAUUAUCCAUGAAUUGUCCAUACCUUCUCAUUGAGCAUAAGAGUCUUUUCCUCUACACACAACUCACAAACAACAAAUGUUCAAGACCAGAGACUUGCUCUUUUUGCAGGAAUCUUACAGCACUGCUGGAACAAAAGUACUUUCUUUACUACUUAUAAAAAAAAAAUAUAAAGUACUUUCUUUACUUGAUUUAUUCAUUAACAAAGUCCAGUGUAUCAAUGCAAGAUUAGGCUUUCAUCUGAUGUAAAUUCUGUUUCACUUGUAGUACUCUGUUGAUUUACAAAUUAUGACGUUCUAUCUAACAAUGAGAUAUGGUUUUAGAUCUUUUAUUUC